CUGCUGCCAGGUAACAGACACACUGCUGCCAGGUUACAGACACACUGCUGCCAGGUAACAGACACACUGCUGCCAGGUAACAGACACACUGCUGCCAGGUAACAGACACACUGCUGCCAGGUAACAGACACACUGCUGCCAGGUAACAGACACACUGCUGCCAGGUAACAGACACACUGCUGCCAGGUAACAGACCCACUGCUGCCAGGUAACAGACACACUGCUGCCAGGUAACAGACACACUGCUGCCAGGUAACAGACACACUGCUGCCAGGUAACAGACACACUGCUGCCAGGUAACAGACACACUGCUGCCAGGUAACAGACACACUGCUGCCAGGUAACAGACACACUGCUGCCAG